CAAAAGCCAACAACAAGUUUCAGCGUAUCUACUAAAAAAUUUUAGUUUAGUUUACGUACUCGGUGUGGCAUAAAAAUCCAUCAUCAGUUGUUGGUUGAUAAACGAUACGGUGAAAUCGUUUAACGCUAUUUAGCAAAACAGAAAAAAACAAA